GAUGAUAUGUCCGAGUGAUUUAAGGAGACAGACUUGAAAUCUGUUGGGCUUCGCCCGCACAGGUUCGAACCCUGCUGUCGACG
rfam:Brassica oleracea var. oleracea cultivar TO1000 chromosome C3, whole genome shotgun sequence